UACAGGGGGUGCGAGCGUUAAUCGGAAUUACUGGGCGUAAAGCGUGCGCAGGCGGUUAUGCAAGACAGAUGUGAAAUCCCCGGGCUCAACCUGGGAACUGCAUUUGUGACUGCAUGACUGGAGUACGGCAGAGGGGGAUGGAAUUCCGCGUGUAGCAGUGAAAUGCGUAGAUAUGCGGAGGAACACCGAUGGCGAAGGCAAUCCCCUGGGCCUGUACUGACGCUCAUGCACGAAAGCGUGGGGAGCAAACAGG
rnacentral:rRNA from 1 species